UCAUUUGAGAGAGCCCGGGGGGCCGCUUUGGAGCCCUCUGUGACAUGCCACAGCAGCUGCAAGGAGGCUUCCUUCUCCAGAUGAUAGCCCCAAAUAUCACGCAACAGCGUCUCUGUUCAAGUGAAAGUUCAACAAUUCUAGUUUGGAAUUAUCCGCUGGUGAUGAAAUUCUCAGAUUCAAAGUGCUAUUUAGAGCCACACAAAGGAAAUACAAGCUAAACAAGCAAACAGACAAACGCAUCAAUUCAUUUGGGGGCCAUGGCUCUCGGGGGGGGGGGGGGGGGGAAUAGGAGCUGCAUUUCUGAGUGGAGGCUCUGCACGUCUGGGGAGCCCCUGCCCUGCUGCGAUGUUAGGCAGUGAGACUGGGGCUCCAGGCUCCUGGUUGCCGGGUGGGGGUUCCUUCAGAGAACAGUGAGCAGCUUUCAGUCAAGGUAUGGGAUUUUAUGAGUGGUUGGAAUCAUCCCGUUUCUUUUCAGUGGUGGAAAGCACUUCAGAAAUAAUGUGGGUUAGGGCUCUUGCUUUCGG
rnacentral:lncRNA from 1 species